GACAGUGGUGAGAGAGACUACAAAUUUUGAAGAAAAAAAAUCAUUUUUGUACAUUAUGCAAAGCUGUGUUUGAAAUGAUUUCCUUGUAAAAUAUUCAUGUACUGUACAUACUGAGGAUUAAAAUGCAUAUGAUUACGUGAGAGGGUUACAUUUAACUACUUAAUUUUUUUCAAUAUUCUGUUUUCUUAAUUUGGUAAUAACACAUGAAAUUUUUGUUCGGGGGGGGGGGGGGGGGGGAGGGGGGAUUGAAAGUUUGUUUUAGUUUUGUAUUCGAAGUAAUGGUUUGUAGCUUGUUCUUCAAAGUAUUACCAUUAAACUUUUAAGCAAGAGAAGUCGAAGUAAUUUGGAAAGCUCUUUUACAUUAACAAUUGGUUUUUUAUAAAACUUCACUGGCGGUAUGACUUGCUCGGAAAAUAACGUAUUAAUUGAGCAUAUUUGUGUUCUAGAUUCUUUGAACAUUUGAUUUGAUUUUGUAUUUUAUUUAACUCAUGAUUGUCUCUUUUUUUGAAUCUCAUUUAUGUGCUUUUGUUGUUGUAAGUUAUUUUUGUAUGUUAUUUAUACAAAUCAUAAAGAUUUUUUUCUGCUUCUGUGUCAAUGAGCAACACAGCAGCGCCGCAGCAAUUUGAUAUGUUCUGUUGGUAUUUAUUUCUUGUAAAAUAAACUACAAAACGCUUG
rnacentral:misc_RNA from 1 species